CUUCUGAUUGCAACUGGAAUUUUACAGGGAAAUUUUCCUACGCCAAAAUCCGCAAGAAAUCUCUGGAAUCGAUCCCUAAAAACAUGUGCCAAACAACCAAUCUCCCAGUGAUUUAUCUCCCCGCUCCUCAGCAUUCCCAGAGUGCCAUAGCAACUGCUCGCUCCUCCGGCGUGGGAUGGGAGAAAACCGGGAUGGAACAUGGGAAAAAAACCAUCAGGAAUAAAAAGGAAGGGAGAAAAUCCCUGGGUUUCGUGCAGGAAAAAGGGAAAAGCACUUCCCUUUGGAAUUUCUCCAGAGAUUCCCCCCCGUUUGCUCCGACCUGAUGGCAAUUUUCCCUGGGCUCAACAAUCCUGUCAGUGGGUGCUGGAUCAUUUUUAUCCCGGCUAUAAACAGGAAAUAUUACAGGAAAGCCUUUUAAAGCAUCAUCACCUCCAUCAGGAUCCAAGCUGGCAACAGGAGAACUGUUCUUUUCCUUGAAACUAUUUAAUAUUUUAAUAGCUGAUUAAAUUAGAACGUAACGGCCGACGGGUGAUUAUUGGGAUUUAUUGGUUAAAGAGGAGAACUGGGAUAUUUAUCCACGUUUAAAGAUACUGGAAAUGUGCCCGUUUGAUAAAUCACGUUUGACUCUUUGUUGUUUGACGGGCUCAGUGUCACCUGAAGGACCAUUUCACAUCCUGCUGGUGGUCCCAGCGUUCCCGGAGGAAGAGCUUACCUGCAGAUGGCCGGAAAACAUUCCUGAAGGCCCUUUUUCUUCACUAAAGAUCCUUCCAGGCAAUACAUGAUGAUGUCCAUCACCUCGGAAACGACAA